rnacentral:rRNA from 1 species
UACGGGGGGAGCAAACGUUGUUCGGAAUCACUGGGCUUAAAGGGCGCGUAGGCGGAUUCUCAAGUCCGGGGUGAAAUCCCACAGCUCAACUGUGGAACUGCCUCGGAUACUGGGAGUCUCGAGGGUGGCAGGGGUAUGCGGAACUAUCGGUGGAGCGGUGAAAUGCGUUGAUAUCGAUAGGAACUCCGGUGGCGAAGGCGGCAUACUGGUCCACUUCUGACGCUGAGGCGCGAAAGCCAGGGGAGCAAACGGGGAUUAAGAAAC